rnacentral:lncRNA from 1 species
CUUGACUCUGCCCCGUCGCGGGUGUUCCUCUCCGACGCCGCAUCUGACUGCCUUUUUCUUUGCGUUCGCCUCUUUGAACGUACUUUUUUCCGAGGUAUUUCACGCGCAGAUCAUUUGUUUCUUCGUCCAUGACAGCGGGAAAGGCUUCCAGUUCGGCAGUUGCCAGUUCCGUGAGACUGCUGCUGAACGUCUUUUCCGCUUCCUCAACGUUUCGGAAAAAGUCGGUACCCCGAUCGAGCAGCUGCUUCAUUGUCGAGUCCACGGCAGCCUCGAGUGUGUCCACACUCUCUUCCAAACUUUCUUGCAGCGUCGCCUCGCAACCCAUUAAGUGAAAUCUCAGCUUGUCCACGUCCCCUACGAAGUUUGCAACCGCCGCGUACAGCUGAGGCGCGCGAGAGUUCACCAGCCGCUGGAAGUCCUCGUCGCACGCGAGGCGCGUCGAGUCGUCGUCUUUUUGCAUGCGUACAAGGCAGAACACACGGUGACAAGUCGACGCGUCUUGAGCAAACCCAGGCGGUUCGAGAUAUCAAUCGGCUGCGCGUACCCAACAGAGACCCCAGAGGGUUUGCCAUCGGAAAGCGUCGCGAUUGCGUAUUGGCUACUUCCUGCACGGGCGCGACUACCUGAUAAGUCUGUGUCCUCUUAUAUACGUCUCGAUAUGUGAAUUUUGAUAGGAAGCAACAAGGCUGAUUGGUAGAACGCAGGGGCAGAUUCGCCCCGCAGUGUAAGCGUUAAGUCUCGCCGGUGUCUUACGCGAACUGUUUUCCCUCACUUUGCCCAGGAGAUAUCGAGGUCAAGAGAAACUUUGUCGGUUGGGCGUUCGUCACGGAUAUCCGAUCGAGGAUCUCGCGCCUCUCGUCAAAAUAUCGUUCCAGCUCUUUCUCGACUUUCUUCUUUCUGCUUUGCAUUUGUCUCAGUAACGUUCGGGCCUCGCCCUCACUCUCGAGGACGGCCCGUUGGACUGCUUCCUCAUAUGCAGCGACGCGCUGUCGCCGUCGCCGAUUUUGCUGCUCGAAGGUUUGCCUGUGUUUGUUACCCGCGAAAGAACACUGUCAGCAGAAGUGCAGACCUUAUGCGCGAAACAGACGAAUGGCAACGUAAACGGGUCACAGACAGCCGAAACAGGGACGGAAAAAAGCAGGCGAAGGAAGAGAGUGCAAGCGAGACAGCAAUCAACACAGUGAACGACCGCGUCUCCCAUGAACAGAGCUUUUGAGUGUUGACUCUACGCUUCUUUGGUGCGUUUGAUCCUGCCUCCUGCACAGCGCCUUGCCUUAGAUUUGCGCAUGUGUUGGAAGAAGGGAAGCACGUGUGACGUAGAGGGGGGGAAGAUUUACUUGUGGAGGCUGUUCUACCGUGGACGUCUCUCAGUGCGUGCCUCUUUGUAGCCUGUGAAUCGCGCCCAAAAAGCUGCAAUUCCCUGGUCCCCGGAUCCAAAACGAAACGCUGAACUACAAAUGCGAGACGCGAAAACUGGUUUCUCUUCGUUGGUGUGAAACGGAAGAAAGGAGGCACAUUUGACUCUUUUUCGUCUCGCUGCUUCUGCGUUUGCCUCUUCCGUCUCGGAGUCGACGGGGCAUACCUGAGAUUUGUUGUCAGGAUUUCUAACUUUUCCAAAAAGGCAUCCCUUAGCAACGGGAAAUCCUUGAGGACAGUGACCGGGGCGGGGAUGACGGACUCGCCGAAGAAGCGAUUGGCGACGUCAUCGAGGAAUGCACAGAAAUUAGCCGCAAGGUGCUCCGUAGUUUUUGCACGUUUCUUCCGUUGUUCGGCUAAAGCAGCUUCGACGCUCUCUUGCUUUUUCAUGUCUGUGAGUUCCUCCGGCUGGACGGAUUCUUGAACCGCAACGAUUUUCCUGCGGUCAAUGAGUUGGUAAUCGAGGUAUCGAAGUUUCGGGAGGAACGCGAGGAUGUACGGCGUGUAGUUUUCUGCCUUGCAAAGCGGAUUUCCGUCCAGGUUCAAACACUGCAAGUUUGGAUGCCUGCGCAGGUUGUGAAUUUCUGAUAAAUCCAAGAUGGCGUUCUUUCCUAGCGACAGCACGUUUAGUUUAGGACAUCCUUCGAGACCCGUGCCGAUUUUUGAAAUCUUGUUGGAGUACAGUGAAAGGUCGGUUAGAUUUGCGAGAUUUGACAGACCACUGAUUUCCGAAAUGUUGUUAAAGGACAGAUCCAACCAAACAAGAUUCACCAGAUGACUCAGAUUCUCAAUCGUCUCGAUGACGUUGUUGUCGAGUCGCAGGGUGGUCAAACCUGCAAGAGCCACGCGUGCCCCGAGAACAGAAGCAGUGAAGAAGUGUUCUAACUUUGCUUUGGCCCUCCAGCCUCCUUAUGUGGCCAGCCAAAGAGUCAACCUCCAGUCCUCGCCGCUGUAGAGUUGGGACUUAACAUUCGG